AUAUUAGAUGUAAAUAAUUAUUUACAUAAUUUAAAACGUCCUAACCUAAACAUAUUUAAUACAUUAUCACUGAACUACAAAAAAGAGAUUUUACUCCAAUCAAAAUGAAAUCUUUAUUUAAAGAAAAUUUAAGUAUCAUAAAACAUAAAGUACGUUGUAUGGCUGAAUCACCAUCGGUUUUGAACAAUGGUCACAGGGAAUUAGACGCAAGUCCCUUUGAGCCGUCAGUAGCUUUAACAGCUUCUGAGAGAUUGAUCUUAAAAGAAAUAAAAAAGUUGAAUUGGGAAAUACAGGAUAUGAAAAAAACAGUAAACAAGAUUCAGGACCUGUUGCUCACAAUUAGCAUGAUUAAUAUUAAGUUCUAGUGAAGAACCUUUUCAACUACCAAUUGAGAACCAGGCUUUACUAGAAUCUAUAGAGCAGCAUUUAGAAGAUGAAAAAAAUAUUGAACUUUUGGCUCAACGAUUAUACCUUUGUGGAGGGGACAAUACCCACAAAUCUGUUUUUUUAUUAAUGAAAAAACUGUUUGCCAGAGAUGUAGCAAUGCUCUAUUCUGGAUCAGGAAAGAAGGGAAAAUUAUCAUUUCAGAAGUUGUCAUAAGCUGUUCGUUUUCCAGGCGCCACGGAUGCAGGUAUUAACAAAUCCAUAUCUUUGUAUUUGACAGGAGCAGCAGACAGGGAAGGAAGACGUAAAAACAGAAAUGCCCAAUAUAUACAGUUAUUUUGAAACAGAAAAAUAUUUUUCGUUUUUUUAUUUAUUAUCAGGAUAACAGCUUAUUUUUCAUUAUUUUAUUUUAUAUAGCAAUAUAUUAUGUUUUUAUUGAUGUAACGUUUUAUUGAAUCUUUCCCUAAUAUUUACUUCCCGAAUCUAUACAACAUAUUGGUUACAAAGAAGUGCAGAUUUUUUUUAUAUUUCUUUUAUUUUUAAAACAUAUUAUAUAAUAUAUAUCAUUCUCAUUCGAAAAUAAUGGUCCACUGUAUAUAUAAAACAUACAAUAACUUGCAUAAAAUGCAUUGACUUUUCGAACUAUCUUGAUAUUUUGUAGUAGUUUAGGCUUUCGCGGCCAUCGUUUGAAGAAUUUUGGUUUUUCGGGUUAUUAGGCCGUCGUCGGUUAGAAUUGCUUCCUAACGUUUCGCUAGCACGAGUGGCUAGCAUCUUCAGAGGUGUGUUUGCUCCGAUUGCUCACACUAGACUGAUGCCUCCGCGUCGGCGUAGCGCGUAUUUAUGCGUCGGCGGAGGGGGCGUGGCUUGUUCGGGUGGUAGUUCUUCCGGAACUGGUCUACUUCUCUGUGCUGCUACUUUGGUCCUAGAUAUAGCUGGAUGCCAAAUUCUGUUAAGGUAGAAAGUUUCUUCCUUCCUGUUGAAAUUAUUUGGAUGUUUGUGAAUUUCAACAGCUUCCCUGACCAGACGAGGAUGAUAUCCAGAUGUUGUGGCAAUGACUUGGGUGUCUUCGAAUUGGAUUUUGUGGUCACCAUCUCUUAGAGCAUGUUCUGCUACGGCUGACUUCUCUGUUUGCCCUAAUCUGCAGUUUCUCUUGUGUUCCGUAAGUCUCGUUCCUACUGAGCGUUUGG